GGUGCGAUGCCCGAGUGGUUAAGGGGUUAGUCUUGAAUCAUGUAUUUCAACGGUCGUGCUUCACGCUGAUAACUAAUUCGCUAUGCGAGCGUCGGUUCGAACCCGACUCGCACCG
rnacentral:tRNA from 1 species